rnacentral:rRNA from 1 species
UGUACCAGUUGUUCCACCAGGAGCAGAGCUGGGUAGCUAUGUGCGGCAGGGAUAAGCGCUGAAAGCAUCUAAGCGUGAAGCCCCCCCUCGAGAUGAGAUUUCCCAUACUUUUAAAGUAGUAAGACCCCUGAGAGAUGAUCAGGUAGAUAGGCUGGAAGUGGAAGUAUAGCGAUAUAUGGAGCGGACCAGUACUAAUCGGUCGAGGACUUAUCCAAA